UGAACAAAUAACCGCACCACAUUGCCGCGUGUGCUCUAGGAAACGACUCGUCUCCAUCCCCAAAUCCCGGAGAUUGAGGAGAGCGCCGGAAGAAUCGCCCGCCGCCGCAGCCCGCGCCUUCAUCCUCAGAUCCACGUGAUUGAGGACGGCGCCGGAAUGGCUUGCCGCCGCAGCCCACGCCUCCAUCCCCAAGUCCAUGCCAGUGAGGACGGCGCCGGAAUGGCCCGCCACCGCAGCCCGCGCCUCCAUCCCCAAAUCCGCACCAGCGAGGACGGCGCCGUGAUGGCCUGCCGCCGAAGCCCGCGCAAUCAUCCCCGAAUCCACGCGAGUGAGCAGGGCGCCGGAAUCACACGCCGCCGCCGCCGUCGCCGCGGCACCUCGCUGCCAGACAACCAAGAUAUGCUCUGGGAGAUCCUCCUCCGUCUCCCGCCUCAGCCAUGGUCCCUCCCGCGCGCAUCCGCCGUCUGUAAGCGCUGGCAAGGACUCGUCACGGAUCCCCGGUUCAUCCGCAGCUUCCAUGCCCACCACCGGAAGCCGCCCCUCCUCGGCGUCUUCGAGUCUUUGGACGAGAUCAUGUUAGGUAGGAGUCCCAUGUUAGUUAGGCACUUCCGCAACAGGAGGAUCCAGUUGAGGUCCAUCCUGGAACUUCCCGACAGCAUCCCUCUUCUCGCCAUCGAAGCCAGCUCCCACCCGAGGACUGAACUGUUCGGCUGCCGCCACGGUCGCGUCCUCCUCUUGAGCGGGCACUGGGAAAAAGUCGGUGUGUGCAACCCAAUCACCGGCGAGCUCCACCGCGUGUGCACUCCACCGGACUUCACAAGGUAUGACUACUUGAGUGUUGCGGUGCUCUGCGCCGCCGCCGAGCGGGGCCACGUGCACGGCAGCUGCCACUCCAGCCCCUUUAAGGUGGUCGUCAUGUCCUCGCGCGGAGAAGACGAUCGUCCUGUAGCUUGUGUGUACUCUUCGGACACUGGAGUAUGGGGCAGUAUCAUCUCAACGACGGCUAGAUGUGAGCUUGGUCCUACUAAUCCUGAGGUUCUUGUUGGCAAUGUUAUGUAUUGGUCUUCUGAAUCUGGGAGUACUGGCGCGUCGCCUUCGGAUUUGGAACCCACAGACGACAUAAUUGAGUUCGAUUUGGAUAGGCAGAAUCUAGGUGUGAUCAAGGGGCCUCCAGACCUUAGUACUUCUCUAGUCCAUCAGAUAGUCCAGACAGAGGAUGAUGCUCUUGGUCUCGUGGUACUUUCUCAUGGUAUAUUCAAAAUGUGGGAGAGGAAAGUCAAUUGUCAUGGUGGUGCUACAUGGUUGCUGCAGAAGACCCUCGAUAUGCAUACUGUUCUUGGGCUCCCUGCUCAGAUUGACGGACCGGUCGCAAUAAUGGGGUAUGAUGAAGAUAAUGGUGUCAUUUUCUUAUAUGCGGACGCCAUUGUCUACAUGCUUCAGCACACUUCAAUGCACUCCAAGAAACUUUAUGCAAGCAGCUGUGCCACUCGCUGUUAUCCUUAUACAAGUUUUUAUGCAUCAGGUGAUUGCUCAUCCUUAGUUCUUAUAUCGUGGUAGUAACCAAUACAGUGAUGUUCACAUGGUUCAUCGAAUGCAUUGCUCUGCUUCCUAACAACUUAAAAGUUUGUUAGAAAUUGAUUCUCACUGAACUCGCAGCCAUAUUGUUUUUUUUUUUCUCAUUCCAUGUAGUUUCGUCUACACUCUAUCAAAUACAGAAUCAUGUUUCAAUUGAGUAACUCAGGUGGCACAUUUGGAUCUGAAAGUAUAUAUGUUCUUUUAUUGAUUUUUUAUUGUUUUAGUCUUCUUAUUAAUCUUUUGAACAUAAUAACGAAUUUCAUUUAAUUCAUAUCUUCUGAAAAAUGAUUACACUUUUUCAAGACAUCUACUGUAAUUGAGUAGUACAUUUUCGGCGCACAAAAAUAUAUUCAAUUUCUUAACUCUAAAUAACCCCCUCCGUCCCAAAAUGUAAGGCGCCUAAGCUUUAGUUAAAAGUCAAAAUAUUUUAAGUUUGACCAAAUUUAUAUGUAAAAAUAUAAACAUUCACAAUACCAAAUCAAUAUCAAUAGAUUCACCAGAAAGUAUAGUUUCUCAAGAUGUCCGUUUGAUAUUGUAGAUAUUCAUAUUUUUUCGUAUGAACUUGGUCAAACGAAGAAGAUGUUGACUUUUGGCUAAAGCUUAGACGCCUUACAUUUUGGGACGGAGUACUAAACAUCACUUUCUUUGCUAGAGGUUAUUAGUUUGGGAAUUUUUAGUUUCGCCUGCUUGACAUGAUGAGGUAUGAAUGAGUUUACAUGAACAAAAAUCUGGAGGCAUUCUUUAUAUUAUCAACUAAACUCUUCAUUAUGAGGUAGUUAAAUAUACUGUUUUCAAGCAUAUUAUUUUCAUUUUACAACACAUAUGGUUAUGAUUAUCUAUUGCUAGCAUCAAAAAGUGAGUUAUAAAACAUUUUUCGUGAAAAUGCAAAAAACAAUGCGUUUCGAUGGAAGGUUAUAUGUCCAAGUGAGGACCAACACCACACCAUACAACUCGACCCGGAAGCUAACUAGGGGAGAAGCUGGCGAAGCCCCUCGCACCCGCGCUCGCCCACGAUCUUGCUUCAGUUUUAACUGUGUCCAGCGAGGAUAUUGAGAGGCUAGCAUUGUUGAAGAUGGCCUCGUUCCGAUGCUCCCAAAUCCACCAUGCUGUGAGCAUAAUCAGCGAGGAAGUUCCUUUACGCAUGGAUCUGGGUGUGCAUCGCAUCACUAGCCCCCCUCAGCGAAGUUACCCCCGGCAACCGGAGGAUGGGACGGGACGUGGAUCUGAUCCAGGACACUACCUCAUGCCACAUCAUCUUGGAGAAGGGGCAUCCAGUCAGGAUAUGCUCCAUCAUCUCCUCCGCCUGGUUGCAGAGCGGGCAUCUGGGAGGGUGUGGGAGACCCCGCCGUGCCAGCUGAUCACCCAUCCAAGAUCUGUCUGCCAGAUGAAGAACCUCACCCUCGGUGGCGUCCAUGUCUUCUAGUUCAGUUUCCACGAUGCUGAGAGCAACGACCCCUGGAAGAGGGCUGGGUAACAGCAUCGGGAAGUGUACUGGCCAUCCGGCGUCCAGCGCCACACCAAGUUGUCCGACACCUUGCUGAGCUGUACUCUAUGGAGGCAAACCUAGAGCUGGAUGUAUUGCCAAAGGGCAAGUGGGCCCAAUGCCUCGGAAAGUCGAUAAUCCAGCUGCGGUCAGCUAGCGCCUGAUGCGCACCGUGCGACUCCUCCAUGGUCGGCUCCGAACCAGCGCGUAGAGAUCUGGCGUUCGGUCAACCCGCUUCAAAUAUCGAACAUGGAUGCUGGCAAUGCAUGGGAGUUGGGUCCUCAUAUUGAUCUGAUCCGAAUGAAAGACGGCGGAUGUGCUGAAGCUGGAAUGUUUUAUCUGGUUUGAUGUGCUAUUUUGUUGAAAUGGUUCAACAGGUGAAGGAAUGGCUGCUCUGCAUGCAUUUCGGCAGAGCGUAUAAGUUAUCAGAAAGAAUCGUACUAAGUGGGUGCCUUGGUCUAGCCAAGUUUCUAGCGUGGCAAGAUUUAUUUGGAUACUUAAACAUGAAACUUUCAGCUUUCACGGGUAGUUUUCAAGUCGGGUUUCGAAUCCAUAUGGUCCACUGUGUUUUCAUGUUGUCUGGAAAAAUGUUUUAAGUGUGUGGCUUGGUCUAACCAAGUUUGUGAUGCUGCGAGAUCUAUCUUAAUACCCAAACCAGUGAAAUUU